rnacentral:lncRNA from 1 species
UAUUCUGAUACUGUGCCCUUUCACCCCAGGAGCCAUUCAUUGAUACCUGUGCUAUGGAUGCAGUUUCUCUCAGGGACGUUCACCCUAGGACCGUGCUUUUAUGCCACAUUUACAAUGGGGCUUUUUAAUCUUAUUGCCCGAGUGGAACGUUUCCUUCCCGCAUACGAUUACAUCUCUGCUGAUUCACAAGGAGCAAGGUUAUAUGUUCCUCAUGCAGCCCUUGGCCGAAGAAGACCUGCUUCCAGGCUAUGAAAGACAAGAUCAUGUUGGAGUGGCCAGGUCAGCUCAAGUUCUGACCUGAGGAUCAACCCUAGGAUCAGACCUAAGCUCCCACAGUCCAUACCCUUGAGACAAUCAGUCAUGAAGAAUCUGGUGGGGACCCCCCCCCACUUGGAAUUACUGCCCUCUGUAGAGUGACCUCGUUCACAGACCCCCCAGCCUCUCUCCAGAACCUCUCCUUCUUGGCGGAUGCUUUCUCAGCCAGUCAUUAUUUAUGUUUCAGAUAGCUUGAGAAGAAAACCACAAAUACAGCCAAGUUGAAUUGGCAACCAAAGCCUGAUCAUUCUUACUGUCAGGUCAUAUCCAGGAAUGUCUUAGCACCAAGGUAUCCAUUGUCAGUCCAAGAGAUAUAAUUGCCUGUCAUGGCAGUAACAAAUCCUGACACGGAUUCAUGCAAUGGCCAACAAAAGAGACAGUCCCUUGUGACGAGGUGCUGGUACUUCCACUCUGAUGAAGAGUCACGCAACUUCCACUCCGGUCUUGUCCUCUCCAGAGCCCAGAUUACCUAAGGCUACCCUUCAUUAAGGAUUGAGAACUGAAAUCUUCAGCCCAACCCUCCGCUACUCUUUUUGCCUUUCUUGUAAGCCCAGGACUGUAUCUCAUUGUUUGCUGUUCCCUCCUUAACUAGCAAAGUACCUGGAAGUUGAUGGAACAAAUGGAUUCCUGCCUCAGUUCCUAGGAAUGUACCAAGGCCAUUUGCAUUCAGCAGUCUUGCCCUGAGAUAGCGCUGUGGCUGGUUCCCCAGGACCAGGGCACAGAUAUUUCACAGUCAACAGCGGGGGGUUACCAGGGUUUCACACCAAGCCCUCCAUUGGAGGCAGACAUGAUGAGGAGACCAGCAAAGUGGCGGUCCUUCUGGCAGGAUGUGAAAACAAGAAGCGAACUGAUCAACACAAUUUUGCUUGGAAAGCAAAGCAUGUGCAGUAAUACGCACACCUGGGCGCAGCUGUCUUAAUGUGGCAGGGAUGCACAACAAACCGGGCAUCAUUUGGAGGGAGGGUAAUGAGGGACCAAGAGCAAGAAAACAAAGGAUGACUGCGCUCCGCGAAGGUCUCGACUCCCUUCUAAUUAGGCACAGUUGUUCUACAAAGUACGUAAUUAAUAAGCGUGUGACCAGAUGCAAAGUACAGCGGCGGCUCUUCCGGCGCUGGACGUGGUGAUGAAGUGUGCACAGCUGGAGGUAGUUGUUCUAAUUUGGCGGAGGCAGAAGGCCCGCCUGGAGUUUUGAGGAGGUGCAGCGAGAGCCGUACACCUGAAAGCAGCUCAUCCUAUUCCGACUGGGCCGGGGUGUAAUGAGAUGGAGCUAAUUAUCAGGAGUGUAAUGAGAUGCCAAAGCCCCUGGAGUUGAGCUGGAAAUUUCAAAGUGAGCUAAGCUGCAAACCCAAGAGAAGAAUUUCCACCGAUGGAGCCGGGUGUGAGUAGGAGGAAGUGUGCCUGAUUGAAAGACCUGCCUUCACGCCCCUGAGCCGAAGACUUCUGUCUGAAACUGCACAGGAUGCCAGGACCUUCCCCCACCUGGAGCAGGAGUCCCUGGGAACCUGAGAACACCAUGACCUGGAAAAGCUGCACAUGGAUUUCUUUUAAUGUGUAUAUGGUUUAUUUAUGUCCACACAACUGAAAAGAAAUCAAGUCAGGUGCUGUCGCGUGAGUGUCGUGGCCAUUAUAUUCCAUCUCAUUUAGAAAUGUGGCCUCAGAUUGCUGACUUUGCAAAUAGAUACUCCAGGAGGAGAAAAAUUAGCAACCUCCUCAUCUCAAACUUCUUUCAUUACCUACCAGCCACAUUUUCUUUCACGAGGAUUUAUUUACCGCCAGAGAGCAGGAAACCCCUUAAUACCUGUUUUCUGUUCACGGUUUUUAUUUUACAGUUGCUGUUAUUUUAGACACCAUUUAUUGAACACUGAAUAUACUUCCAUUUAAUCCACAUGCUGGAGUUCCUCCCAUGGCUCAGCAGUUAACGAAUCUGACUAGCAUCCAUGAGGACCCAGGUUCGAUCCCUGCCCUUGCUCCAUGGGUUAAGGAUCUGGCGUGGCCGUGAGCUGUGGUGUGGGUGACAGCCUCUGUGCGGAUCCUGCAUUACUGUGGCUGUGGCAUAGUCCGACAGCUGUAGCUCCCAUUCAACCCCUAGCCUGGAACCUCCGCCUGCCGCAGAUGCGGCCCU